CAAUAGCGUAUAUUAAAGUUGUUGCAGUUAAAAAGCUCGUAGUUGGAUUUCGGAAUGGGCCCGUCGGUCCGCCGCAAGGUGAGUCACUGACUGGUUUGUUCUUCUUCGCAAAGACUGCGUGUGCUCUUCGCUGAGUGUGCGUAGGAUUUACGACGUUUACUUUGAAAAAAUUAGAGUGUUCAAAGCAGGCUUUAGCUUGAAUACAUGAGCAUGGAAUAAUGGAAUAGGACUUUGGUUCUAUUUUGUUGGUUUCUAGGACCGAAGUAAUGAUUAAGAGGGACAAUUGGGGCAUCCGUAUUUCGUUGUCAGAGGUGAAAUUCUUGGAUUUACGAAAGACGAACAACUGCGAAAGCACUUGCCAAGAGUGUUUUCAUUAA
rnacentral:rRNA from 1 species